AGCUCCAAUAGCGUAUAUUAAAGUUGUUGCAGUUAAAAAGCUCGUAGUUGGAUCUCGGGUCGUCGCCUGCGGUUCGGGUCUACGCCCGCCUACUGCAGGCGACACCUAACCGGCGGGACGCGUCGGGUGCCCUUGACUGGGUCGCCCGCCGCACCCGCCCAAUUUACUUUGAAAAAAUUAGAGUGUUCAAAGCAGGCUCCAACGCCUGAAUAAUGGUGCAUGGAAUAAUGGAAUAGGAUCUCGGUUCUAUUUUGUUGGUUUUCGGAAGUCGAGAUAAUGAUUAAGAGGGACAGACGGGGGCAUUCGUAUUGCGGUGUUAGAGGUGAAAUUCUUGGAUCGCCGCAAGACGAACUACUGCGAAAGCAUUUGCCAAGAAUGUUUUCAUUAAUCAAGAACGAAA
rnacentral:rRNA from 1 species